rnacentral:misc_RNA from 1 species
CCUGUUUGAAGCACUUGAGACUUGCGUCCCUAGUUGGACCAUAUGUAGGAGCUGCAUCUACACUUCUUCUUCCAAAGAUUGACGCAUCAGCAAUGGGAUUCUCAUGGUAGACAUUUCUGAAAACUGACUCAUCAGAAGACAUGCAAUCCANCCACUUUGCAGAAUCCAUCAUUUCUUUCCUCCUGAAUAUUCAUGGCCAAUUUCGAAUUCUCCAUCAAUUCUUUCAUCUGAGCAAGUUCAACUGCAAUUUUAGACUUUUCCUGAUUGCAUUCU